rnacentral:rRNA from 1 species
UCUACGAUUUCCGAAUGGGGAAACCCACUGGCAUAAGCCAGUAUCAUUGAGUGAAUACAUAGCUCAAUGAAGCGAACCGGGAGAACUGAAACAUCUAAGUACCCCGAGGAAAAGAAAUCAACCGAGAUUCCGAAAGUAGCGGCGAGCGAAAUUGGAUUAGCCCUUAAGCUUUACAUGUGUUAGACGAACGGUCUGGAAAGUCCGACGAUACAGGGUGAUAGUCCCGUAGUUGUAGAUGCAUGUUCAGUGAAAUCGAGUAGGGCGGGACACGUGUUAUCCUGUCUGAAUAUGGGGGGACCAUCCUCCAAGGCUAAAUACUCCUGACUGACCGAUAGUGAACCAGUACCGUGAGGGAAAGGCGAAAAGAACCCCUGUGAGGGGAGUGAAAUAGAACCUGAAACCGUGUACGUACAAGCAGUAGGAGCACCUUCGUGGUGUGACUGCGUACCUUUUGUAUAAUGGGUCAGCGACUUAUAUUCAGUGGCAAGGUUAACCAUCUAGGGGAGCCGUAGGGAAACCGAGUCUUAACUGGGCGCCAUAGUCUCUGGAUAUAGACCCGAAACCGAGUGAUCUAGCCAUGGGCAGGUUGAAGGUUGAGUAACAUCAACUGGAGGACCGAACCGACUAAUGUUGAAAAAUUAGCGGAUGACUUGUGGCUAGGGGUGAAAGGCCAAUCAAACUCGGAGAUAGCUGGUUCUCCCCGAAAGCUAUUUAGGUAGCGCCUCGGACGAAUACUACUGGGGGUAGAGCACUGUUAAGGCUAGGGGGUCAUCCCGACUUACCAACCCUUUGCAAACUCCGAAUACCAGUAAGUACUAUCCGGGAGACACACGGCGGGUGCUAACGUCCGUCGUGGAGAGGGAAACAACCCAGACCGCCAGCUAAGGUCCCAAAUUACAGCUAAGUGGGAAACGAUGUGGGAAGGCUUAGACAGCUAGGAUGUUGGCUUAGAAGCAGCCAUCAUUUAAAGAAAGCGUAAUAGCUCACUAGUCGAGUCGGCCUGCGCGGAAGAUGUAACGGGGCUAAGUUGUAAACCGAAGCUGCGGCAAUGUUCUUUGAACAUUGGGUAGGGGAGCGUUCUGUAAGCCGUUGAAGGUGUGUUGUAAAGCAUGCUGGAGGUAUCAGAAGUGCGAAUGCUGACAUGAGUAACGACAAGGGGGGUGAAAAACCUCCCCGCCGGAAGACCAAGGGUUCCUGUCCAACGUUAAUCGGGGCAGGGUAAGUCGACCCCUAAGGCGAGGCCGAAAGGCGUAGUCGAUGGGAAACGGGUUAAUAUUCCCGUACUUCUUACAAUUGCGAUGGGGGGACGGAGAAGGCUAGGUGGGCCUGGCGACGGUUGUCCAGGUUCAAGUGCGUAGGCU